GUCUGGAGUCUGUCUGAAACUGAUAAAAAUGGUGAUGGAGUUUUUCAAGAGUCUCGCUCCUAUUUAUAAGAAAGCUAAAGGGAGACAGAGCGGAAUUUUACAAUCGUCCAAUCCUGUAGUCAUUUCGCAUUAUUAUUAUAUUGUAGCGCAUUUCAAAGUUUAUUCCAUUUUUUCACCAGACAGUUCAUUUAUUCACAGGCGGGAGAAACAUCAUUCUGACGGCCUCUUGGAACCGUCACUUACUCAGAUCCACUAAUAGAUGCCUGUGUUCUGGAGCUGUGCUUUUGUGCGGACGGGGGGAUUCAUCUCGGCUCUUGCAAGUUUAAAGAAAUGGAAUCGUGCUCCGUGUUAUAUGGUAAGUUAUUAAACCAGUAUAGCAAACCAGCAAACGAACUGUACCCUCCACACAGCACAGGCUUUACAGACUCAUCUGGAAAAGUCCUUUCUGGUAGAAAGAGAAUAGAAAAGGAAGUUAAUUAUUUCCACCCGAACCUAAAAUGCCUCUGUCUCUCUCUACAAAGAUUGGCUUGUGAUUUGCAUGAGGAUUUUGAGGAGCUUUUCAGUAUGUUUGCCAUGUCUGUCCUGGCUGUCUGUUUAAACAGGCCCCGAGUAAUGAAGAAGAGAAGAUGGAAGGAAGGAAGGAGGGAGGGAGAAAAAGAGGAGGUGUGCUAAAUCCUGGUUUCCCUCCUCAGCCCUUUUGGGAUAUGAAGGACCCAGAUGGUGUAGGGGUGUGAAACCAGCAUUGUGUGUGUGUGUGCGUACAUAUUAAAGUGUGUCUGUCUGUUUGUCAGUUUCUCUGUCUGUCUGUCCAUCUGUAAUUUCCUUCCAAAAUCAGGGGCGUCCUUAGUGAAGGGACCCUGCCCUAAUGUCAGCCCUGUGAGGGGAAGCUUGUCUGUCUGUCUGAAUGGAAACAAAAGACAGUGGACACAACUAACCCCCCAAAAUCAUCUUUGUCCCCGUUGCCCUCUGCCGCCCAGAGCCUGACACCCAGCACUAGGGGCUUUGAUUAGCCAAGUGGAGACGCUGGGGAGUCACAAUACCCUCUGCCCUGAUUAGCCUGCACUUGGCCACUGCUGACCCCUCCUUCCAAAGAGAAUCAUGUGAAUGGGCUGGAGAUACUGAAACAAGGCAUUUUGGAAGGAGCAUCAUGCACCUUGACCUGUCUAGACACUGCUGGUGUAACAAAUAGAUAAUGUGGCCUUUUCAUGUCACUGAUGUUCUGCACUCUCUUUUAAGUUUGAGGCAACUAUAAGGCCAAUAGGUUAACUGUUUUUCUGAUCUAGUUUUAUUAUUUUUUUACUUUUAAUAAUGAAAUCAGUCCUAGUUAUUUUUUACAUAUUUAUGUUACAUAUAGGAAAAGUUUUCCAGUUUCCGCCAUUCUGAGACUCCACAUUUUCUGUAAGUAUUUCUUCUUAACCAAAUUGAUGUAACUACUCAAGUUUUGUUUUCGGUUGCCUUAAAUUGCUUGGCUGUUUUUUGAAAAAAAAAAUUCUGGUGUCGUUUUAAAUUGUGUUUAUUUAUUGUAUGAAAAAUUCUUGUUAGUCAUAAGGCAUAUGAUGUACAUUAACAACCAUGUCACAUACCAUGUUAAUCUAGUUUUUACAGAUCACAGUAGAUACAUAAAUGUUUAUCGUUUUUUGGGUUUUAUAUCUAAUUGUGCACAGGAAAUUCUAUUUUUUCAUACAAAUUAACCACUAAACCAUAAAAAUACUUUCAAUACGUAAUGUGAAAGUUACUGAAUCUUAAAACUACAUCAUUGUCCUUUUUUAUAUAAUGCUGAGUCAAGAUCUCUGGUCAAAUCUGAUGAUUGUGUCGUUUGGGAGUUAGACACUCAAAACAUGAUGACAGGUGAAAUAUUUGGUCAACGGAAUAUUACGAUUUCCCAAUAUUUCUGAAAUCCUGGUGUGAAUGUUAUGUUUAGACAGUGAUUUUUCCUUUCAUUAUACAUGGCUGUAGGCAUAGUUUUCUCACUGUAACUGCAGGAAGUGCCGCUGUUGUUGUUCCUGUGUGGGUGGGUGCCCGCACCGCUACUGCGGCUUUGCCAGUUCCCUCCAUUGUCAUGCAGCAAUAUGCCCAACAGACCCUGAAUCUGUAAUGGUUGAGUGUUCUGUCAGUAAUAAUAGUGUCUAGAUUGGUUGAAUCUGACCCUGGAACAGCCCUAGAAGAACUCCUUUAUAGAGGUGAAUUUUAGAAGAGACACGGUGGUGGGGGUUGUCAUGGCGUGCUCUGUGUGGCUCCUUCUGCCCCGCCCUCUAACCAGCCACUCGAAGCCAAGAAAAUGGCAGCUGCAGUGAGCUGCCAAAUGAACACCGAUUCUCCACCCACCCCUCCAUUUCGCCAAUCGCCCCCACCCAUCCACCCCGCUCUCCCUCUCCCGUGUUUUGUCAGUUUUGCAGUAAAAUGAAUUUGAAUCUUGGGUUCUUUGCCAUCUUAUAAAUGCCUUCCAACAUCCUUGCCAUUAUCACGUCUUAUGCCCAUGUUGCCAGCUCAGUACUGCCCAGGUUGACGUAUGAAACGUCAACGCCCCACACCGAUAGCAGUUUAUGUAGAUAGAAGAAAAUUAAUUAGAUGUUAUGUCUCGAUCAUGUUUAACCUCACACAGACACACAUCUGCCCACUUUAUCUUCCGCUGCACGUAACCAUGAAGAAAGUAAGCCUCAUACAGGGGAUCCUUUAGUACAUUUCAUGGCAGUCAAAGCGUUGGGAAUGUUUUAAUGAAUGCUGUCAUAUGUAUGUCAUUUCUGAUGAAUGGAUGUUGUCAGGGGUUUUAUUUUGGCUGAUGUACUCCCACAUGGAAAAUAAUUGAGAGUGUGGAAUCUGAAUGGCUGUGGUAAAAUAGAGAUGGCAUUCACUCAGGUGUUUAUUCGCACAAAGUUUGAGAUUUAUUUUGAUUAACAGGUGCAAGUAAAAUCUGCAUGUUAGAACACUAAAUGUAUAUAAUAGAAACAUUUCUAGUUUGUAAUGUUCUGUGAAGGUGUCUGUUUGUCUGUUGAUUUCUGCAUCCUACAUUUAAUUUUUUGGUGUAUUAUAUGUUCCUCCUUUUUAUUUUCUGUGUAAGUUUUCUGCCUAAAGUGAGCUGAUUUGCCCUGCUAUGGCGAAACUCUUGGUAAUUCGUUACCAAGAAGCACUAAACAAUGACCCAGUUAGUUUGUCUAUACUCUGUUUGGCUUUGCCAGCACACCAGAAUGAGGCAGGGCAGGUCCUUGAAGUAUGUAAAAUUAUUUCCCCUGACUUUACUAUAAUAGUGCCGACACUUAAUCUUUAUUUGUCUGAGACUGACCCUCUAAGGAUGCAUUUGUGGAAGUGAGCAUGUUAAGAGAAUAUUCCAAGGUUAUUCUGUGGACAGCAUGAGACCCUCCCUAUUUUCCAGCUUGAGUUGAUGGUAAAAUGCAGCUCGGCAGUUGAAAUGAAUAGAUCAUUGCGUGUCGGAUGUGCAAUAACACACUUUAUAUUUGAAAGUAUGCUGUAGUGUUUUUAAAUCUGAAGCCUGCAAUUUUGUAUUUCCCAUGUUUGACUGAUGCUGUUUUUGUGAAUUUGUAUGUGUUCUUUGUCACAGGAUAGUGAAGACGAGCAGAGAUGGUGUG